GACGAACGCUGGCGGCGUGCUUAACACAUGCAAGUCGAACGGUGAAGGGACCGGUUUUUGCUGGUUCUGGAUGAGUGGCGAACGGGUGAGUAACACGUGAGUAACCUGCCCCCUUCUUCUGGAUAACCGCAUGAAAGUGUGGCUAAUACGGGAUAUUCUGCGCCUGCUGCAUGGUGGGUGUGGGAAAGAUAUUGUUUCGGUGGGGGAUGGGCUCGCGGCCUAUCAGCUUGUUGGUGGGGGGAUGGCCUACCAAGGCGGUGACGGGUAGCCGGCCUGAGAGGGUGGACGGUCACACUGGGACGGAGACACGGAGCAGACUACUACGGGCGGCAGCAGUGGGGAAUAGUGCACAAUGGGCGCAAGCCUGAUGCAGCGACGCCGCGUGAGGGAUGGAGUCCUUCGGGUUGUAAACCUCUUUCGCCAGUGAAGCAGGCCUGUCCCUUUUGUGGGUGGGUUGACGGUAGCUGGAUAAGAAGCGCCGGCUAACUACGUG
rnacentral:rRNA from 1 species